UUGUUCCUGUGAUGAGGUCACGGAAUCUCGCGCCAGGCAUGGCGCCCGACCCAAAGCGUGAGGAGAUAUUCCAUGCUGCCUUCCUUCUGAGGAACCC